ensembl:lincRNA Gm29374 predicted gene 29374
CCCAUCUCCACUUCGCCAUGGCAGUCUCUUACCAGUCCAGUGCUGACUGGUGUGCUCAGAGAAUGUCUGACCAGUGUCUCCAGCUUCAGGUGACAUUUAAAAAGUCCUAAUUGUCUCAGCUUGGGCUACAAUAGUGUGGCCCUGAUGAGGGAGCAGGCUCUGAGAAGGAGACCCUGGAGUGGCCAGUCUAGGAGGCCAGUCUUCCUCCUAGUCUAUGGUGAUCACAGAGGAGUCCCAGGUGUUGGGAAAGACUGCAUUGGGCACACAGCCCAGCUCAGAACUGCUUGGCGGGGACAUUUUCAUGGCAUGCGCCUUAGAGCCUGGGUAUAGGGAGAACUGAGGCUCCAGACCCAGCCUCUAAGUCACUAUCAAGAUUCCCCAGCUGAUGUCCAAUUCCUUCCACCACUGUGGACACCGCUCAGGAAGGCCUCAGGGCAGCAGGCCGGCUCUCCCCACUACAACUCGACCCUGCUGAGGACAUCAGUGUGGUUCUGGGAGAAGACUGUCCCAGCAGGUCGCCUGAGGCCCAGUGUCACCCACUGCUUCCCCACUGUUGUUGCAGGGUCUACGAAGGGGCUUCUUGUGAAACCAGGACGCUCUGGGCUUCGGAACCAGCAGCCUGCUGUUCAGGUUUAGGCCGCUGAACAGCAAUUGAUCUGCAGGAGGUGGUCCUUGGGAGAAUUCAUGGAGAAAAAUCCACCCUUAAUCAUGCUAUUUAUAAUUCCUUCACAUGCUUCGAGGAGGACUCAGGACAAUGAGAAGCUCAGCCCAUCCUCCCCAGGGAGGUCCUUGCUUUAUAAGCUCACUUGUCAUUGUGUUUCGAAGCCCAUGGAUUUGUACGGCAUGUAACUGACUGAGGGACCUUGGCAGCUUUACAGAGGAGCGCCGAUCUCUGUCUCAUCUACCAGGCAGUCAUCGGGCCCUGUCUUCAGUACCAUCAAGGACUGGGGACUCUGUCUCUCUUUCCGGUUGAAAGAAAAGGCUGUCCUGACCCCACCCGGCCUUUCCUACAGUCCUCGUGAUGAGCUGGAGCCCACACUCUGGGCCCUCACCACCGACACCAUAAUUUCUUCCUUUAUCUAAGGCAAACAUAGCCCCCUUCCCUCACGGGUGUUACCCCGUCUCUGCCAACCACCCUCCUCCUUUGUUCUGACUUAUUCAUGGGACAUGAGUUGUGGCUCAUUUGGAGCCUCUGGGAUUGCCUCAGGUGAGGAGCCUCAGCUUUUGUUUCCGUGUAACCUACCUUUGGGGUGUCUUCCUGUAUGCUCCAUGGGUUAUAGCCCCCAUACUCUACUGUCCAUAGAUAGCUGCUGGUGGUAUAAAGGUGAGCAUAGCUGGUU